GAAUUACCCAUCAAACCUUGCGCACUGCAUCCAAGAUGGCGCAGAUCACUACGAGAUUUCUUCGAGGUCGAAUUUCGGCCUUGAGUCGUCAGGUCGCUCGUCCAUUUUCGCUGGGCAGCGCUAACAAUUCAUACAAAUAUGUUGUCGAAGAGGCUCAAGAUACACCUAUGGACAUGAAGACUUCAACAGAUCGUAAUGCAACAACGUUGUUUUUCAGUGAACUGCUUCGUGGUAGGUAUUUAUAAUAUUAACAAAAUUGUAUAUUUCGUUCUGG